ensembl:snRNA U6 U6 spliceosomal RNA
GUGCUCGCUUCGGCAGCACAUAUACUAAAAAUUGGAACGAUACAGAGAAGAUUAGCAUGGCCCCUGCGUACGGAUGACACACAAAUUCGUGAAGCAUUCGAUAUUUUU